UGAUCCAGAGUACCACGGGACACGUGAAACCCUGUGGGAAGCAGGAGGGACCAUCCUCCAAGGCUAAAUACUACUUAGUGACCGAUAGCGCAUAGUACCGUGAGGGAAAGGUGAAAAGAACCCCGGGAGGGGAGUGAAAUAGAACCUGAAACCCUGCGCUUACAAGCUGUGGAAGCACUUUAUAUGUGUGACCGCGUACUUUUUGUAGAACGGGCCAACGAGUUACGAUAGUAAGCUAGGUUAAGUACUUAAGGUAUGGAGCCGUAGUGAAAGCGAGUCUUAAAUGGGCGUUAAGUUUGCUGUCGUAGACCCGAAACCGAGCGACCUAUCCAUGAGCAGGAUGAAGCGAAAGUAAAAUUUCGUGGAGGUCCGAACCCACGAGCGUUGAAAAGCUCGGGGAUGACUUGUGGAUAGCGGUGAAAUUCCAAUCGAGCUCGGAGAUAGCUGGUUCUCCCCGAAAUAGCUUUAGGGCUAGCCUCAAGGUUGAGAAAUACGGAGGUAGAGCACUGAAUAUCCUAGGGGGCAUUGCGCUUACCGAAGAUUAUCAAACUCCGAAUGCCGUUAUUUUAUACUUGGGAGUCAGACUGUGGGUAAUAAGAUUCAUAGUCGAGAGGGCAACAGCCCAGAUCGUCAGCUAAGGUCCCUAAAUGUAAGUUAAGUGGUAAAGGAUGUGGGAUUGCAUAGACAACCAGGAUGUUGGCUUAGAAGCAGCCACUCAUUUAAAGAGUGCGUAAUAGCUCACUGGUCGAGUGAUCCUGCGCCGAAGAUUACCGGGGCUAAAACUUACUACCGAAGCUACGAUAUCAUUUAUGAUAGGUAGGGGAGCUUCCUAUGCAGGCUGAAGCAUGACCGUAAGGACGUGUGGACAGUAUAGGAGUGAGAAUGUUGGCAUGAGUAGCGAGACGUGGGUGAGAAUCCCACGGGCCGUAAACCCAAGGUUUCCAGGGGAAGGUUCGUCCGCCCUGGGUUAGUCGGGACCUAAGCCGAGGCCGAAAGGCGUAGGUGAUGGACAACAGGUUGAGAUUCCUGUACCACCGAUAAUCGUUUGAGAGAUGGAAUGACACAGUAGGAUAAGCUAACCACACUGUUGGUUAUGUGUGGCUAAGUACUGAGG
rnacentral:rRNA from 1 species